rnacentral:rRNA from 1 species
CAGCACCUCUAGUGGUCAGGAUGAUUAUUGGGCCUAAAGCAUCCGUAGCCGGCGCUGUAAGUUUUCGGUUAAAUCUGUACGCUCAACGUACAGGCUGCCGGGAAUACUGCAGCGCUAGGGAGUGGGAGAGGUAGACGGUACUCGGUAGGAAGGGGUAAAAUCCUUUGAUCUAUUGAUGACCACCUGUGGCGAAGGCGGUCUACCAGAACACGUCCGACGGUGAGGGAUGAAAGCUGGGGGAGCAAACCGGAUUAGAUACCCGAGUAGUCC